GACGAACGCUGGCGGCGUGCCUAACACAUGCCAGUCGAGCGAAUGAAGUUCCUUCGGGAAUGGAUUUAGCGGCGGACGGGUGAGUAACACGUGGGCAACCUGCCUCAUAGAGGGGAAUAGCCUUCCGAAAGGGAGAUUAAUACCGCAUAAGAUUGUAGUAUCGCAUGAUACAGCAAUUAAAGGAGCAAUCCGCUAUGAGAUGGGCCCGCGGCGCAUUAGCUAGUUGGUGAGGUAACGGCUCACCAAGGCGACGAUGCGUAGCCGACCUGAGAGGGUGAUCGGCCACAUUGGGACUGAGACACGGCCCAGACUCCUACGGGAGGAAGCAGUGGGGAAUAUUGCACAAGGGGGGAAACCCUGAUGCAGCAACGCCGCGUGAGUGAUGACGGCCUUCGGGUUGUAAAGCUCUGUCUUCAGGGACGAUAAUGACGGUACCUGAGGAGGAAGCCACGGCUAACUACGUG
rnacentral:rRNA from 1 species